rnacentral:rRNA from 1 species
UACGUAGGGUGCAAGCGUUGUCCGGAAUUAUUGGGCGUAAAGAGCUCGUAGGCGGUUUGUUGCGUCGGCUGUGAAAUCCCGAGGCUCAACCUCGGGUCUGCAGUCGAUACGAGCAAACUAGAGUGUUGCAGGGGAGACUGGAAUUCCUGGUGUAGCGGUGAAAUGCGCAGAUAUCAGGAGGAACACCGGUGGCGAAGGCGGGUCUCUGGGCAAUAACUGACGCUGGAGGAGCGAAAGCGUGGGAGCGAACAGG